AGAGUUUGAUCCUGGCUCAGGACGAACGCUGGCGGCGUGCUUAACACAUGCAAGUCGAACGAGAAUCUACUGAAAGAGUUUUCGGACAAUGGAAGUAGAGGAAAGUGGCGGACGGGUGAGUAACGCGUGAGGAACCUGCCUUGAAGAGGGGGACAACAGUUGGAAACGACUGCUAAUACCGCAUGAAGCAUAGGGGUCGCAUGAUUCUUAUGCCAAAGAUUUAUCGCUUCAAGAUGGCCUCGCGUCUGAUUAGCUGGUUGGCGGGGUAACGGCCCACCAAGGCGACGAUCAGUAGCCGGACUGAGAGGUUGAACGGCCACAUUGGGACUGAGAUACGGCCCAGACUCCUACGGGAGGCAGCAGUGGGGAAUAUUGGGCAAUGGGCGCAAGCCUGACCCAGCAACGCCGCGUGAAGGAAGAAGGCUUUCGGGUUGUAAACUUCUUUUAAGAGGGAAGAGCAGAAGACGGUACCUCUAGAAUAAGCCACGGCUAACUACGUGCCAGCAGCCGCGGUAAUACGUAGGUGGCAAGCGUUAUCCGGAAUUAUUGGGCGUAAAGAGGGAGCAGGCGGCAGCAAGGGUCUGUGGUGAAAGCCUGAAGCUUAACUUCAGUAAGCCAUAGAAACCAGGCAGCUAGAGUGCAGGAGAGGAUCGUGGAAUUCCAUGUGUAGCGGUGAAAUGCGUAGAUAUAUGGAGGAACACCAGUGGCGAAGGCGACGAUCUGGCCUGCAACUGACGCUCAGUCCCGAAAGCGUGGGGAGCAAAUAGGAUUAGAUACCCUAGUAGUCCACGCCGUAAACGAUGAGUACUAAGUGUUGGAUGUCAAAGUUCAGUGCUGCAGUUAACGCAAUAAGUACUCCGCCUGAGUAGUACGUUCGCAAGAAUGAAACUCAAAGGAAUUGACGGGGGCCCGCACAAGCGGUGGAGCAUGUGGUUUAAUUCGAAGCAACGCGAAGAACCUUA
rnacentral:rRNA from 1 species